ensembl:miRNA
GGGUUUGACCGGCACUGAUGUGAAGGUGGUUUGGCCUUGAUUGUGCCAUGCCACCUUUACUCCUGAGCCAGGCGUUCCC